rnacentral:tRNA from 1 species
UUCUGGGUAGCUCAGGUAGUAAAGAAUCUGCCUGCAAUGCAGGAGACCCUGGUUCGAUUCCUGGGUCAGGAA